AGCAGCCGCGGUAAUUCCAGCUCCAAUAGCGUAUAUUAAAGUUGUUGCAGUUAAAAGCUCGUAGUUGAAUUUCGGGAUUAAUACGUUGGUCGUGCCUUGGUACGUACUGGCAUUAUUGAUUCCUACCUUCUGAAGAACCUCGAUGUCAUUAAUUUGGUGUCUUGGGGAAUCAGGACCGUUACUUUGAAAAAUUAGAGUGUUUAAAGCAGGCUCGCGCUUGAAUACAUUAGCAUGGAAUAAUGAAAUAGGACGUUUGAUUCUAUUUUGUUGGUUUCUAGGAUCGACGUAAUGAUUAAUAGGGAUAGUUGGGGGCAUUAGUAUUCAAUUGUCAGAGGUGAAAUUCUUGGAUUUAUUGAAGACUGACUACUGCGAAAGCAUUUGCCAAGGAUGUUUUCAUUAAUCAAGAACGAAAGUUAGGGAUCGAAGACGAUCAGAUACCGUCGUAGUCUUAACCAUAAACUAUGCCGACUAGGGAUCGGAUGAUGUUAAUUUUUUAAUGUACUCAUUCGGCGCCUUAACC
rnacentral:misc_RNA from 1 species